ACGGGUAGCCGGCCUGAGAGGGUGACCGGCCACACUGGGACUGAGACACGGCCCAGACUCCUACGGGAGGCAGCAGUGGGGAAUAUUGCACAAUGGGCGCAAGCCUGAUGCAGCAACGCCGCGUGAGGGAUGACGGCCUUCGGGUUGUAAACCUCUUUUAGUAGGGAAGAAGCGAAAGUGACGGUACCUGCAGAAAAAGCACCGGCUAACUACGUGCCAGCAGCCGCGGUAAUACGUAGGGUGCAAGCGUUGUCCGGAAUUAUUGGGCGUAAAGAGCUCGUAGGCGGUUUGUCGCGUCUGCUGUGAAAACUGGAGGCUCAACCUCCAGCCUGCAGUGGGUACGGGCAGACUAGAGUGCGGUAGGGGAGAUUGGAAUUCCUGGUGUAGCGGUGGAAUGCGCAGAUAUCAGGAGGAACACCGAUGGCGAAGGCAGAUCUCUGGGCCGUAACUGACGCUGAGGAGCGAAAGCGUGGGGAGCGA
rnacentral:rRNA from 1 species